GACGAACGCUGGCGGCGUGCUUAACACAUGCAAGUCGAACGGAAAGGCCCUGCUUGCAGGGUACUCGAGUGGCGAACGGGUGAGUAACACGUGGGUGAUCUGCCCUGCACUUCGGGAUAAGCUUGGGAAACUGGGUCUAAUACCGGAUAGGAGCCAUCUUUAGUGUGGUGGUUGGAAAGUUUUUUCGGUGUAGGAUGAGCUCGCGGCCUAUCAGCUUGUUGGUGGGGUAAUGGCCUACCAAGGCGGCGACGGGUAGCCGGCCUGAGAGGGUGUACGGCCACAUUGGGACUGAGAUACGGCCCAGACUCCUACGGGAGGCAGCAGUGGGGAAUAUUGCACAAUGGGCGCAAGCCUGAUGCAGCGACGCCGCGUGGGGGAUGAAGGCCUUCGGGUUGUAAACUCCUUUCGCUAGGGACGAAGCUUUUUGUGACGGUACCUAGAGAAGAAGCACCGGCUAACUACGUG
rnacentral:rRNA from 1 species